rnacentral:rRNA from 1 species
GACGAACGCUGGCGGCGUGCUUAACACAUGCAAGUCGAACGGUAAGGCCUUUCGGGGUACACGAGUGGCGAACGGGUGAGUAACACGUGGGUGAUCUGCCCUGCACUUCGGGAUAAGCUUGGGAAACUGGGUCUAAUACCGGAUAGGACCACGGUCUGCAUGGAUUGUGGUGGAAAGCUUUUGCGGUGUGGGAUGGGCCCGCGGCCUAUCAGCUUGUUGGUGGGGUGAUGGCCUACCAAGGCGACGACGGGUAGCCGGCCUGAGAGGGUGUCCGGCCACACUGGGACUGAGAUACGGCCCAGACUCCUACGGGAGGCAGCAGUGGGGAAUAUUGCACAAUGGGCGCAAGCCUGAUGCAGCGACGCCGCGUGGGGGAUGACGGCCUUCGGUUGGUAAACCUCUUUCUAGCAGGGACGAAGGGUGGACUGACGGUACCUGUAGAAGAAGCACCGGCCAACUACGUGCCAGCAGCCGCGGUAAU